GACAAUCAAGCUCACUGCUACAAUCUUUAAAGGUUAUGUCAGGGUGAGAGUUAUUUUAGUCUGGCCCAGGUUUACACCAUGACUGAGAGCUGACAUGUCAUGGCAGAAGAGAUUGAAAAUUCUAAGUCCCAGCCCGCAAACAGUGAGGGAUAUCAGUGGAAUUAAUGGCAGUUGUCUAUUCCAAGAUUUCAAGACUGAGGGGCACAUUUUUAAGCACUGCCAGACUACUCCAUGCCUCCAGACCUUGCCAGCCUGAUCUGAAGUCACUACCCAGAAAGAUGAGGUCUUCACAUUUCAGAGGAACACCCAGCAGUGCAGGAAGAAGUGCUUUCUGAAAUGGAGAGUUUGUGGCCAUUUAUAUCAGCUGUGGCCUCACAAGAUCCUGACAGCUUUACAUCUGAUAAGCCAGUCCAAUGAAAAGUAUCAUACUGCACACUGUACAUGGAGCAUCCCUAAGUGAGCCAUACAAGAGGACACUUAUUUAUUGCAUUUGAAUAUUGCCUUUAUACUGAGGAAAUGAGCUUUCUGCUACACAAAUACCAGACUAGAAAGAGAAGCUCCAGUUUCUGUGAAAGAUGCUUUGUUCUUUGGCGCUCUCAGACUAUU